AAAAUUAUGGUACUUGAUUUUGCAAAAAUGGAGCAAAUUCUAAAUCAUUAAGUGAUUGGUGUUCAAAUCCUAUUCAAAUUGAUGGAGCAGCCAGUAUAAGAAAUUUUGACAUUAUUUUGGAUCAGUAGUUUGGCACAGUAGUCAUGUUAUGUUGUUUUUUCCUGAUUUUUGUGAGCUUUUCUGUUCUGAAGGGCCCAGGUAAACUAUUCUUGUCGUC
rnacentral:lncRNA from 1 species